UAAUAUUUCAUCAAAUAUCAGACACUUUCUCUGCAGGCAAAUUAAGAAGGGUUAAAAAUGGUGUUCUCAGCCAUAUUAAGUUGUUUUGUUCCAUCUUCUUCCUCGACCCGAGUCUUCAAUGAUGCUGGUGGGUCUAGUGUGAAGGAACCUAAGAGCAAGUCAUCGAAAUCUUCAUCAAGAGCUCCGAUCCCGGUCUCUUACUUCCCUGUUAACUCCUACCUCUCUCGCUUGUAGUGAUUAAUUUCAUGGCAAGGUGGAGUUAGAAUUUGAAGAAUAUCAAUCGAUUAUUCAUUCAGUCUAGGUAUGAUAUGAUGGGGUUCCUCAUCAUGCAGUUGCUUGAGGAGUGAUGAUGGAGUUUGUUUUAAUGUACAGUUUGAUGAUUAAUUUGCAAUAAUUAAUUUCAAGAAUAUUGUUGAUUUCCUCCAAUUGCAUGCAAUGAAACAGCUCUUUUUAAUGUAAGUCGGGUGCGAUGAUACCAUGAAAUUACCUGCAACCAAAUAAGACAUUAACCCCAACUGAAUUUUCUUGUUGUUUCUGAAUUUGAUCAGUAAAGGAGGAAGUCUUAAAAAAGCCUAUGGAAAAUGACCCCACCAUUUUGGAGAAACACUAGGUGAAAUUUGAUCCACAGAAUGAAGAUCAGGUAUUCAUGGUGGGAUUUGCCUUAUGGUCCAUGACGAUAAAAGCUUAUUAUUCUUCUAUGCAUGCACCAAAGAAAAAGGGAAAAUUAAGCCGCCUUACUUUGCCUUUUUAUUCUCCUAAAAAGUCUGCAAUAUGCGCCUCAAAUCCAACCUAAGUGUCUCUGACACCCUCUUUCUGUCCAUCCAUUAAAAGGUACUAACUUUAAAAUUGUGAUAUCUCACAUAUUAUAGAAAAAAAGUUUGAUUUUAAUCUUGUAUAUAUAUUUUAAAGUUGUGAGUAUCUCUCGAACUUUAAUGAACAAUAUCUACGCAAGAGAUGACAAAUUAUUAUAAAUUAUAUUAGAGUUAAUUUCCUAUCCAAUGAAAGUUUAUUUGACCUUGUAAAUGAUUUUUAUCUUUUUGUUAUCACAAUUCUAUGCAUUAUAAUGAGGACGUUGCGUCCAUUUGAAGGUACGCUAUAUAUGUAUUGAUUCUUCUUCAUUUUAUAAGCAUUUUUUAAAGUCAUGAGUGUUUAUGAGGCACAAAAUGGAUCACUACAAAUAAUAAAAUAUUAAAGAAAAGACAAAAAGGGAACUUCGAACAACUUAUGAAGAUCAACAAUAUAUACUAGACCGUUAACAUUAUCUAUUUAUCUUUGAAUCGAGCAAGCAACAGUGAUUGACAUGCUUGUUGGUGGGACCUAAUUCAACAAUGAAUUGUUUUUUUUGAUAGGAAACAAUGAAUUGUAUUACCACAUAUUUUAAUACUUAAAGUUUCUAUAAUUAAUUAGUCUUUGAAAAUGAUACAUAUUUAUUGUAGAGGCUACAACAAAAGCCUCUGCAAUUAUUUUUAAGAGAAAUUAUUUAAGGGAUUUUUUGUAAUAAGAACAUGAAAUAAUAAUUUAUUUUAUUUUUCAAAAAAGCGUCUAUUUCAUAAAUUAAUUUUAGUGAUUUUCUAGAUUUUUAAAAAUUUACUGAGCACAAUAUUAAAAACUUUUGUAUUCUAGGGAAGUCAUGAGACUUGGUCAAGAUAUGGAAUAUGGGAUGACGUUAAGCCUGAGAAAGAAAAUAUAAUUUCCCGGAAAGUAAAAGUAGGAUGUCUAAGGAAGAAAGCAUGAGAAUCACAUUGGAUGAUUAGUUUUAUUUAAUCUUAUUCCAAAGGAGACUUUAGCUAAUAUGUUUUAAUUUUCUUCAUUGUUUUGGUCCCACCCUCUAUUUGUUUGUUGCCUAGAGCUUCCCAUUUUUGCUGAAAGGUUUUCUUCUUCUGUGUCAGACUAAUCAAAAUUUCAAAGGUGGUGUAAUUUGACACGACUUUCUUCAAAGAUUCGGGCCCUAGUGUACAAAAGCUUAGUUGUCGGGUCUUUUUCUAUAGUCAAAUGACUCAGAUCAAGGUAGCAGCAGCUGCCACGAUUGUCACAGGAAGCUCAAGGGAAUCAACCAUCUGAGAUAUUUAUAGUUUAGCUUUCCUUGAUAUGCAAGUAAACCAACCCUACUUCCAUUUCAGAUCUGCAUUAUAAAUAGAGAAGCAUAUGUUAGCCUAAUAUUUCAUCAAAUAUCACACACUUUCUCUCUUUUCUAGUUUUCUGAUCAGGCAAAUUAAGAAGGGUUAAAAAUGGUGUUCUCAGCCAUACUAAGUUGCUUUGUUCCAUCAUCUUCCUCGUCCCGAGUCUACAAUGAUGCUGGUGGGUCUAGUGUGAAGGGACCUAAGAGCAAGUCAUCGAAAUCUUCAUCAAGAGCUCCGAUUCCGGUCUCUUACUUCCCUGUUAACUCCUACCUCUCUCGCAUGUAGUGAUUAAUUUCAUUGCAAGGUGGAGUUAGAAUUUGAAGAGUAUGAAUGGAUCAUUGAUUCAGUCUAGGUAUCAUAUGAUGGGGUUCUUCAUCAUGCAGUCGCUCAAGGAGUGAUGACGGAGUUGGUUUUCAUGUACAGUUUGAUUGAAGAAUAUUGUAUUAGAUCUUCAUCUUGUUAAUUUCCUCCAACUGCAUGCAAUAAACAGUUCUUUUUAAUAGAAAGUUGGGUACGAUGAUACCAUGAAAUUACCUGCAACCAAAUAAGACAUCAGCCCCUACUAUGAAAAUUAAGAAACACACAAAAAAGUUCAGUUGGGGUUUCCAUUGGAAAGAAUCGGUACUUGAAAUAUUGGCAAUCAGUGAUUACCAUAUGUAUAACUGCUAAGUAAACCCUAGAAUCAGUUAGGGUUUACCAUCAUCGAAGACAAAGGUUGUUCGUAUCAUAUAUUAAGCAAAAACUACUUACAUCAUACAGAAGAUAAUCAGUAAGGGAAGAAGUCUUAAAAAAAGAAAAGGAAACUGAACCUACGAUUUUGGAGAAAUUAGGGUGUAAUUUGAUCCACAAGGUGAUGACUGAUGAGUAGAUAUGCAUGGUGGGAUUUGCCCCAGCGGUCCAUGAUGAUAGAAGGCUAUUAUCCUUUUACACAAGCACUAAAAGAAAAAGGAAAAAUUAAGCCGCCAUGCUUUGUCUUUUCAUCCGCCCAAAAGUCUUGCAAUAUGCACCUCAAAUCAAACCUAAGAGUAUCAAUCACUCUCUUUCUCUCCAUCCAUUAAAAAGUAUUAAUUUCAAACUUGUGAUAUCUCACAUUGUAGGAAAUAAUAGCCUAAUAUUAUAUAUGUAUAGGUUUUUUAAUUUUGUACAUGUACUUUAAAGUUGUGAAUAUUGUUGAACUUAAAAUGGAUAAUAUCUACAUGAAAAAGAGUAAGUCAUUACAAAUGAUAUUAAAAUUGAUCAUCAAUCUUAAUGUGAGAGUUUAUUUGACCCUGCAAUGAAUCUUUUUAUUUCUAUGAUCCUAUGAGAUACCACAAAGAUAUUGUGUACUCAUAUGAGGGUGCGUUAUAUAUGUAUUGAUUCUUCUUCUUCUUAUAAAUAAAUUUUAAAGUUGUGAGUGCCUAUGAGACCCAAAGCGGAUUAGUACAAAUAUUUAUAUAGACUUACAUUUAAAUCUAAUAAAAUAUUAUUUGUUAUAUUAAAAUAAAUUGUUGUUUUUUUAAAUGAAUUGGAAAUAUUUUGAAGUGUUUGUUUAUAAAGAAUUUUAAUAAAUAAUUGAAGAUAUGAAGAUUGAUUGUAGGGGACUCCUGACAUGUGUUCAACAUUUCAAAUAUUGGCGAGUACCUAAGAUAUUUAUUUGAUAUUAUUCCAAAGGAGACUUUAGCUAAUAUGCUUUAAUUUUCUUAAUAGUUUUGGUCCCACCCUCUAUUUGUUUGUUCCCUAGAGCUUCAUAUAUAUAUAUUAGACUAGUCAAAAUUUGAAAGGUAAUAUAAUUUGACAUGAUUUGUCUUCAGACUUGGACGCUACAUUCCCCCUGUACAAAAGUUUGACUGUUAAUUCGGUUUUUUUCUAUAGUCAGAUUAAGCUGGCAGCAGCCGGCACGAUUGUCACAGGAAGCGCAAGGGAAUUUACCAUCUCAUAGAUUAAUCAAUUAGCUUUCCUUGCUAUGCAAGUAAAUCAACCCUACUUCCAUUUCAUAUCUGCAUUAUAAAUAGAGAAGCAUAUGUUAGUCUAAUAUUUCAUCAAAUGUCACACACUUCCUCUCAUUUCUAGUUUUCUCAGGAAAAUUAAGACGGGUUAAAAAUGGUCUUCUCAGCCAUAUUAAGUUGCUUUGUGCCAUCAUCUUCCUCGUCCCGAGUCUUCAAUGAUGCUGGUGGGUCUAGUGUGAAGGAACCUAAGAGCAAGUCAUCGAAAUCUUCAUCAAGAGCUCCGAUCCCGGUCUCUUACUUCCCUGUUAACUCAUACCUCUCUCGCUUGUAGUGAUUAAUUUCAUGGCAAGGUGGAGUUAGAAUUUGAAGAAUAUCAAUCGAUUAUUCAUUCAGUCUAGGUAUCAUAUGAUGGGGUUCUUCAUCAUGCAGUUGCUUGAGGAGCGAUGAUGGAGUUUGUUUUAAUGUACAGUUUGAUGAUUAAUUUGCAAUAAUUUGAUUGAAGAAUAUUGUAUUAGCUAGAUCUUCAUCUUGUUAAUUUCCUCCAACUGCAUGCAAUGAAACAGGUGUUUGAUGAUACCAUGGAAUUACCUGCAAAUAAAUAAGACAUCAAAACCAAUCUGAAAAUUCAGAAACAGCAAAAAAUUAAGUUCAGUUGGCCGGGGAUUCCAUUGGAAAUUAAGAAUCGGUACUUGAAAUGGAAAUUAGUGAUUACCAUAUGGAUAACAGCUAAUAAAACCCCAGAAUCAAUUAGGGUUUAUCAUCAUAUAUUAAGCAAAAACUACGUGCAUUAUACAGAUGAUGAUUGGUAAAGGAAGAAGUCUUAAAAAUGCAUGCCAAUGGAAAAAUUAGGGUGAAAUUUGAUCAACAGAGUGAUGAUUAGGUAUGCAUGAUGGGAUUUUCCCAAUCCGUCCAUGAUGAUAAAAGCCUAUUAUUCUUGUAAACAUGUACUAAAAGAAAAAGGAAAAAUUAAGCCCUCCUACUUUUCCUUUUCACCCCCCAAAAAGUCUCCACUAUGCACCUCAAAUCAAACCUAAAAAUCUCUAUCACUCUCUUUGUGUCCAUUGGUUAAGAAGUACUAAUUUCAAUAUUGUGAUAUCUCACAAGUAUAGAAAAAAAGUUUUUAACACUAUAUAUACACGAACUCCUUUUAAUCUAAUAAAGUCAUGAGUAUCUGUCAUACUAAGAACAAACAAUAUCUAUGUGAGAGAAAAAAAGUUGUUAUAAAUAGUAUUAGAGUUUAUCUUUGAUUUCGUUGUAGAAGUUUGUUUGACCCCACGAGGGGUAUCUGUUUCUUUAAUCCCACAAUCCUACUGAACAUAGUUAAGACGUUGUAUUCGUAUGAGAGUCUAUUCAUGUAUUAAUUCCUCUUAACCUAAUACACUACUUAUAAAGUUGUGAGUACGUAUUAAACUUAGAAUAUGUACUCAUAGUAGGUCAUUACAAAUAUUUAUGCGGACUUACAUUUAAAUCCAAUAAAAUAGUGUUACACAAAUAUUAUAUAAGUAUGAAACACACUCUCAUUUGAGUAUAUAUAUAUAUAUAUAUAUAUAUAUGUACACUACCGAAUAAUGGUUCCUUAAUUUGAUUAUAUGUCUAAACUAGACAAUUGAUAAAAAAAAUACUUUGAAAUGAAAUUGAUGUAAAAGAAAAUAAUGAGUUAUAUAAAGAGUAAUUAAUGCGACCUUUGGCCUUAUAAUUAAGUAUGGUUAAAUUACAUUUUUUAAUUCUCUUAGUAUGUGAGACCCAAAUUAUUGAAUAUUUUUUUAGGUUGUUAUUCAAUUGAUGAGAAUGACAAAUUUAUGGCUACCAACAAUGAUGUUUAUUAUUUAAAGCUACUCAUUUUGAAGAAGUCGCAUACCAAUCCUUAAACUAAAUCAAUUAGGUCUUAACUACUUUUUUAUUUAAUUUUUUUUUUGUAAUGAGUUGGUCAACACUGAAGCCUUAAUUUUAUGUUUGAAAACUUUAUUUUAAAUACACUUCUAUUAAAAAUAAGAAUAAUGUUAGUAUAUUUAAUAGUUAUUACUACUUUGGUCCCACUCUGGAUGUGUUCGUUCUCUGAAGCUUCCCAUUUUCUCUCGAAGGUAAUUUUUGUCUAAUGUCUCUCUAAGUUUUGAAAAGUUUUCUCAAAGACUUGGCCACCACAUCCCCCCUGGACAAAAGUUUAAUUUGGUCAAAUUAAGCAGCCAGAAUUUUCUCCAGAAGCUCAAGGGAACCAUCUCACAUAUUAUUUGGAUUUCCUUUCUAUGCAAGCAAAUCAGCACUAUAAAUAGCGAACAUCUUGGCAUAAUGUUUCAUCGGUCAUACUUCCUCUCAAUAUUUCUGGUUUUCUCAGACAAAUUAAGAAGGGUGAAGAAUGGGGUUCUCAGCUAUACUAAGUUGCUUUGUGCCAUCAUCUUCCUCAUCCCGAGUCUUCAAUGAUGCUGGUGGGUCUAGUGUGAAGGAACCUAAGAGCAAGUCAUCGAAAUCUUCAUCAAGAGCUCCUAUCCCUGUCUCUUACUUCCCCGUUAACUCCUACCUCUCUCGCUUGUAGUGAUUAAUUUCACUGCAAGAGUUAGAAUUUGAAGAGUAUGAAUGGAUCAUUGAUUCAGUCUAGGUAUCAUAUGAUGGGGUUCUUCAUCAUGCAGUCGCUCAAGGAGUGAUGAUGGAGCUGGUUUUCAUGUAUUGUUUGAUGAUUAAUUUGCAAUAAUUUGAUUCAAGAAUAUCGUAUUAGAUCUUCAUCUUGUUAAUUUCCUCCAACUGCAUGCAAUGAAACAGCUGUUCGAUGAUACCAUGGAAUUACCUGCAAACAAAUAAGACAUCAAUCCCAAUUCUGAAAAUUCAGAAACAAGAAGAAAUUAAGUUCAGUUGGGGUUUCCAUUGGAAAUUAAGAAUUGGUACUUGAAAUGGCAAUAAGUGAUAACCAUAUGCGUACAGCUAGUUAAACCCCAGAAUCAGUUAGGGUUUAUCAUCAUGUAUUAAGCAAAAACUACUAAUUACAUUAUACAGAUGAUGAUCUAAAAGGAAGAAGUCUUAAAAGCCUAUUAUUCUUGUUUCCACAUGCACUAAAGGAAAACGGAAAAAUAAAGCCACCUGCUUUGCCUUUUCAUUCUCCCAAAAGUCUCCAAUAUGCACCUCAAAUCAAACCUAUGAAUCUCUGUCACUC
rnacentral:lncRNA from 1 species